rnacentral:rRNA from 1 species
AGUGAACGCUGGCGGUAGGCCUAACACAUGCAAGUCGAACGGCAGCACCGUAAGAGCUUGCUCUUACGGGUGGCGAGUGGCGGACGGGUGAGGAAUACAUCGUAAUCUACUUUUUCGUGGGGGAUAACGUAGGGAAACUUACGCUAAUACCGCAUACGACCUACGGGUGAAAGCAGGGGAUCUUCGGACCUUGCGCGAUUGAAUGAGCCGAUGUCGGAUUAGCUAGUUGGCGGGGUAAUGGCCCACCAAGGCGACGAUCCGUAGCUGGUCUGAGAGGAUGAUCAGCCACACUGGAACUGAGACACGGUCCAGGCUCCUACGGGAGGCAGCAGUGGGGAAUAGUGGACAAUGGGCGCAAGCCUGAUCCAGCCAUACCGCGUGGGUGAAGAAGGCCUUCGGGUUGUAAAGCCCUUUUGUUGGGAAAGAAAAGCAGCAGGUUAAUACCCCGCGGUUCUGACGGUACCCAAAGAAUAAGCACCGGCUAACUUCGUG